UUAUCAGGUAGAUACUUUUAG
ensembl:piRNA 21ur-8644 ncRNA